GGCUCCUGCCCUCUAGAAGCUCACAGUCUAGUUGUGUUCAUGUGCCAGUUGCUUACCCCCAGCUAGAUUGUAAGCUCCUUGAGGGCAGUCACC
rnacentral:pre_miRNA from 12 species